rnacentral:rRNA from 1 species
UACAGAGGGGGCAAGCGUUGUUCGGAAUUACUGGGCGUAAAGGGCGCGUAGGCGGCCUCUUAAGUCGAACGUGAAAUCCCCGGGCUCAACCCGGGAACUGCGUCCGAUACUGGGAGGCUUGAAUCCGGGAGAGGGAUGCGGAAUUCCAGGUGUAGCGGUGAAAUGCGUAGAUAUCCUGAGGAACACCGGUGGCGAAAGCGGCGCGCUGGACCUCUUCUGACGCUGAGGCGCGAAAGCCAGGGGAGCAAACGGG